rnacentral:rRNA from 1 species
CACAGCAGAGCUUUGCUCUGUGGGUGGCGAGUGGUUUACUGGUGAGGAAUACAUGGGAAUCUGCCCAGUCGUGGGGGAUAACGUAUGGAAACGUACGCUAAUACCGCAUGCGCCCUUCGGGGGAAAGCCGGGGAUCUUCGGACCUGGCGCGAUUGGAUGAGCCCAUGUCGGAUUAGCUAGUUGGGGGGGUAAAGGCCCACCAAGGCGACGAUCCGUAGCUGGUCUGAGAGGAUGAUCAGCCACACUGGAACUGAGACACGGUCCAGACUCCUACGGGAGGCAGCAGUAGGGAAUAUUGGACAAUGGGCGCAAGCCUGAUCCAGCCAUGCCGCGUGUGUGAAGAAGGCCUUCGGGUUGUAAAGCACUUUUGUCCGGAAAGAAAAGCGCUGGGUUAAUACCCUGGUGUCCUGACAGUACCGUGAAGAAUAAGCACCGGCUAACUUCGUGCCAGCAGCCGCGGUUAAUACGAAGGGUGCAAGCGUUUACUCGGGAAUUUACUGGGCGUAAAGCGUGCGUAGGUGGUUUGUUAAGUCUGAUGUGAAAGCCCCUGGGCUCAACCUGGGAAUUGCAUUUGUAUACU